rnacentral:rRNA from 1 species
UACAGGGGGGGCAAGCGUUGUUCGGAAUUACUGGGCGUAAAGGGUCUGUAGGUGGCUUACUAAGUCAGACGUGAAAUCCCUCAGCUUAACUGGGGAACUGCGUCUGAUACUGGAAAGCUUGAGUGCAGGAGAGGAACGCGGAAUUCCAGGUGUAGCGGUGAAAUGCGUAGAUAUCUGGAGGAACACCGGUGGCGAAGGCGGCGUUCUGGACUGCAACUGACACUGAGAGACGAAAGCGUGGGGAGCGAACAGG